GAUGAACGCUGGCGGCGUGCCUAACACAUGCAAGUCGAACGGUAACAAUUUAAAGGUUUCUUCUUAAUGAACUUGAUUGGCUUAGUGGUUGAGGGGUCAUUGGAACCUGAUUUUUCUUCGUUGUUCAAGGAGGUAAACUUUGGCUACUACGACUAAUACCCUAUGGGUUCAAAUAAUCGAAUUUUCAUUCUUUCACGGAUUUAUCGGCCGAUGUUGGAUUAGCUAGUUGGUGGGGUAAAGGUCCACCAAGGGGACGACACGUAGCUGGUCUGAGAGGAUGAUCAGAGACACUGGAACUGAGACACGGUCCAGACUCCUACGGGAGGCAGCAGUGGGGAAUAUUGGACAAUGGGCGCAAGCCUGAUCCAGCCAUACCGCGUGGGUGAAGAAGGCCUUCGGGUUGUAAAGCCCUUUUGUUGGGAAAGAAAAGCAGAAGGUUAAUACCCCGCUGUUCUGACGGUACCAAAAGAAUAAGCACCGGCUAACUUCGUG
rnacentral:rRNA from 1 species